UCCCUGGCAGUCCAGUGGUUAGAGCUCUGCACUUCCACUGCAGAGAACACAGGUUCGAUCCCUGGUCAGGGAA
rnacentral:tRNA from 1 species